UACGGAGGAUCCAAGCGUUAUCCGGAUUUAUUGGGUUUAAAGGGUGCGUAGGUGGCCUGUUAAGUCAGGGGUGAAAGACGGUAGCUCAACUAUCGCAGUGCCCUUGAUACUGAUGAGCUUGAAUGGACUAGAGGUAGGCGGAAUGUGACAAGUAGCGGUGAAAUGCAUAGAUAUGUCACAGAACACCGAUUGCGAAGGCAGCUUACUAUGGUUUAAUUGACGCUGAGGCACGAAAGCGUGGGGAUCAAACAGG
rnacentral:rRNA from 1 species